CGCCUGAUAGCACAUGGUGUGCACUUGCUAACUGUUUGGGGUCGUAGAGGAAUUGUUAUGCGAGAGUCCCUCGUUCGAUUCGGGGUCGGGUGA